rnacentral:rRNA from 1 species
UACGUAGGGGGCAAGCGUUAUCCGGAUUUACUGGGUGUAAAGGGAGCGUAGACGGUUAUGCAAGUCUGAAGUGAAAGCCCAAGGCUCAACCAUGGGACUGCUUUGGAAACUGUAAAACUGGAGUGCAGGAGAGGUAAGCGGAAUUCCUAGUGUAGCGGUGAAAUGCGUAGAUAUUAGGAGAAACACCAGUGGCGAAGGCGGCUUACUGGACUGUAACUGACGUUGAGGCUCGAAGGCGUGGGGAGCAAACAGG